rnacentral:tRNA from 1 species
CGGGGCGUAGCGUAGUUUGGUAGCGCGCCUGAAUGGGGUUCAGGAGGUCGGGAGUUCAAAUCUCCCCGCCCCGACCA